AUUGAACUUUACUGUUACAUUUACAGUGUGUCACAUCAGGGCUGUUUGGUUGCUAAAACGAAAGACACAUUGCCCCAAAACAAAUCUGAAUCACAUGAGAGGAUGGGGAAGUACUUGCAAAGAUGAUUUUUACUAAAAGUGUGAUCCUGUAGUCAUACUGGGUUUUUUUGUUUUUUUCUAACAUUAGUUCUUAGAUUGAACCCUUCAAAGGCCAAUGCCUCGCCCAAACCCCUCUGAUGUCAGGGUCUGCCUUUGUGGUCUGAGUGAUUGGCAAAAGUCAUUAAGCAUUAGAUAACAGGUUCUACUUGCCCUUUUGUACUCUGAUCAGUGACCUGAAAACACUUCUUAAGGUGGAAAAAUGGCACAAAAAUAUCACUGUAAACCUUUUGUGACUCCAAAAGGCAACAAGUACUUUGUUUAGUGAUUGUAUACUUUGCUUCCCCUUCAGAAAAGGAGUGACAGGCUAAACCUGGUUGCUACAGGUCAGUCUGACUUACACUCACAAACUCAUGUAGUACACAGGAUCACAUUUAUUCACAAAGACAAGUUCAUAAUCAACAUCUGGAAUCCGAGAAGUGGCAAAAGUCACUGAAAGGUUAUCAGAUAAAUCAAAAGAAAAGUGUGAAGUCUUUGUGACCCUCCUCCUCUCCAUUCGCCUCCAGUUCAUCACCUCCAGUGCCCAGUCUGCUCCUCGUCACAUCCAGAUCUUCAGUCGUUCUCUUCAUCCCUUCACCAGCACUAGUGUCCAUCAGGGGGCUUUCAUUUUCAAUAUGAUGAUUAUUCUGCUCAGUCACACCUUAUCUCCAUGUCUUUGAAGUUGCAAAGUAAAAUUUAGCUUCACUUAAAAGUGAAAGUCAGUCAGUAAGUCCCAAAAGAGGGAAGGGAACAGCGUGUUUAAAACUUAAACACAUUAAUAACCAGCAAAUUAGUCAAAGUAAACAAUCAUCUUACUGACAAAUGCUCUGAUACAAAGUGUUUGACUUUUUUAUUAAUAGUCACAUGGUUGCUAAGAACCUCCUGUUUUAUUCUGAUAACCGCAGGGAAACAGACUGUUACUGUGGUUGGUGGUUCCAGGUACAAGAAGGAGAUAUUGGACAACUCAGGCACAGUCUGCUCUUUUGUGCAUCACCUCACACCAAUACCAGACUUCUGCUGGGAACCACAGCACCCAAGCUGGAAGACCAUGUGAUGAAGAAUCCAAAAUAUGUACCAGACAAAGCUGUAUCUGGGAUUUUGACCAUCCACUCAACAUGUUGGUUGUUAAUAAUGUUUGUAGUUGAGAAUCAAAGUAACAACACUGUAGCAUUAUACAGUACAUGAUGUAACACAGAUUGAAUCUGAGUUUCUGAUGUUAAAUGAUACAAAAAUAUAUAUUUCCCUUUUCUUUCCAUUUUCUUUCUAUCUGUUCAAAAAUGAAUAAUAAUUGUAUAUUACUCUCACAAA